AGCGAACGCUGGCGGCGUGGAUAAGACAUGCAAGUCGAACGAGACUUUUCGUUGUAGCAAUACGAUGGAAAGUUUAGUGGCGAACGGGUGCUUAACACGUGGGCAACCUGCCAGGAAGUGGGGGAUAGCUCGCCGAAAGGCGAAUUAAUACCGCAUGUGAUUAGAAAGGACAUCCUUUCGAAAUUAAAGUCGGGGCAACCUGACGCUUCUUGUGGGGCCCGCGGCCUAUCAGCUAGUUGGUGAGGUAAUGGCUCACCAAGGCUUUGACGGGUAGCUGGUCUGAGAGGACGACCAGCAACGCUGGGACUGAGACACGGCCCAGACACCUACGGGUGGCAGCAGUCGAGAAUUUUUGACAAUGGGGGAAACCCUGAUCGAGCGACGCCGCGUGGAGGAUGAAGGUCUUCGGAUUGUAAACUCCUGUCAUUGGGGAACAAGGUGCAUACGUUAACUGCGUGUGCAUUGAUAGUACCCGAAGAGGAAGAGACGGCUAACUCUGUGCCAGCAGCCGCCGUAAAAC
rnacentral:rRNA from 1 species